rnacentral:rRNA from 1 species
GGSUUAUUGAUAAUAAUUUUAAGUCUGGCCUGCUCUAUGAUGAUAAAUUAAAUGGCCGCGGUAUUUUGACCGUGCAAAGGUAGCAUAAUCAUUAGUUUUUUAAUUGAAAGCUUGUAUGAAAGGUUUGAUGAAAAAAAAACUGUCUCUAUUUAAGUUAAAUAGAAUUUUAUUUUUAAGUGAAAAAGCUUAAAUGUGUAUAGAAGACGAGAAGACCCUAUAGAGUUUGAUAUUUAUUUUUAUAAGUAAAAUUUUAGUAUUUUCUAGCUUAUGAAAAUAAUUAUUUAGUUGGGGUGAUUAAAAAAUUGAUUAAACUUUUUUUUUAUUUAAACAUUGAUUUAUGAUUAAAUGAUCCUUGAGUAAAGAUUAAAAGAUAAAAUUACCUUAGGGAUAACAGCGUAAUUUUUUUUUAGAGUUCUAAUCGAAAAAAAAGAUUGCGACCUCGAUGUUGGAUUAAAAGAAAUUAUUGGUGAAGAAGCUGAUAAAUUGGGUCUGUUCGACCUUUAAAAUUUUACAUGAUCUGAGUUUAAACCGGKGKGASCCAGGUCGGUUUCUUAUC